ensembl:snRNA U6 U6 spliceosomal RNA
GUGCUGGCUUUGACAGCACCUAUACUGUAAUGGGAACACUACAGAGAAGAUUAUCAGGAGCCAUGUGCAAGGAUGACAUGCAAAUUUGUACAGCAUUUUACUUAAAA